UACGUAGGCAGCGAGCGUUGUUCGGAAUUAUUGGGCGUAAAGAGUGUGUAGGCGGUGCUCCAAGUCUGUCGUGAAAUCUCCCGGCUUAACUGGGAGGGUGCGGCGGAAACUGGAAUGCUAGAGGGUGGGAGAGGUAAGCGGAAUUCCUGGUGUAGCGGUGAAAUGCGUAGAUAUCAGGAGGAACACCUGUGGUGUAGACAGCUUACUGGACCACUUCUGACGCUGAGACACGAAAGCGUGGGUAGCAAACAGG
rnacentral:rRNA from 1 species